GGAGGGAUGGCCGAGUGGCUUAAGGCGCACGCUUGGAAAGCGUGUGUGCGGGAAACCGUACCGUGGGUUCGAAUCCCACUCUCGCUGCCA
rnacentral:tRNA from 1 species